rnacentral:rRNA from 1 species
UUGACUGUGCAAAGGUACCAUAAUCAUUAGUUUUUUAAUUAAAAGCUUGUAUGAAUGGUUGGAUGAGGUAAAAUCUGUCUCUAUUUAAUUAAAAUUAAAAUUUAAUUUUUAAGUUAAAAAGCUUAAAUAAUUAUAAAAGACGAGAAGACCCUAUAGAUCUUUAUAUUAAAUUAAAUAAUUUUAUUUAAGAUUUAUAUAAUUUUUAUUUAUUUUAAUAUUUUAUUGGGGUAAUAAAAAGAUUGAAGUAAUUCUUUUUUAUAUUUUUUUAUUAUUAAUUAAUAAUUUUAUGAUCCAUUUUUUAUGAUUAAAAGAUUAAGUUACCUUAGGGAUAACAGCGUAAUUUUUUUAAAGAGUUCUUAUCGAUAAAAAAGUUUGCGACCUCGACGUUGGAUU